UACGGAGGGUGCAAGCGUUAUCCGGAUUCACUGGGUUUAAAGGGUGCGUAGGCGGUUCUAUAAGUCAGUGGUGAAAUCCGGCAGCUCAACUGUCGAUGUGCCAUUGAUACUGCAGAACUUGAGUACAGACGAGGUAGGCGGAAUUGACGGUGUAGCGGUGAAAUGCUUAGAUAUCGUCAAGAACACCGAUAGCGAAGGCAGCUUACUAGGCUGUAACUGACGCUGAUGCACGAAAGUGUGGGGAUCAAACAGG
rnacentral:rRNA from 1 species